rnacentral:lncRNA from 1 species
AUCACAUGAUGUAUCUGAUCAGACUUUGAUCCCCCACAUCUCCACUAUCUUCCAGAUGAUUUCAGAUCAGUCAGUUCGCAUUCAGCAGCUUGAGGGUUAUAUAUUGAGACUGACUGGGAGAGUACUUGACUUGCAGGGGCAAGUGUUAGCUCUAGCACAUCCACAGCCACAGGAGUUCAUCACUGAGGUCUCAGACCUAUCUACAGAGGCAACCAGACUUAGAGGAGUUUUGGAGAGUGGAUUUGAUUUCCUGAGGAGAGAGAUCAGAGGCUCUAGUGAGCAUGCAUCCACCC